GACGAACGCUGGCGGCGUGCUUAACACAUGCAAGUCGAACGGAAAGGCCCUGCUUUUGUGGGGUGCUCGAGUGGCGAACGGGUGAGUAACACGUGAGUAACCUGCCCUUGACUUUGGGAUAACUUCAGGUAACUGGGGCUAAUACCGGAUAGGAGCUCCUGCUGCAUGGUGGGGGUUGGAACGUUUCGGCGGUUGGGGAUGGAUUCGCGGCUUAUCAGCUUGUUGGUGGGGUAGUGGCUUACCAAGGCUUUGACGGGUAGCCGGCCUGAGAGGGUGACCGGCCACAUUGGGACUGAGAUACGGCCCAGACGCCUACGGGAGGCAGCAGUGGGGAAUAUUGCACAAUGGGCGGAAGCCUGAUGCAGCAACGCCGCGUGCGGGAUGACGGCCUUCGGGUUGUAAACCGCUUUCGCCUGUGACGAAGCGUGAGUGACGGUAAUGGGUAAAGAAGCACCGGCUAACUACGUG
rnacentral:rRNA from 1 species